AACGAACGCUGGCGGCAUGCCUAACACAUGCAAGUCGAACGAGACCUUCGGGUCUAGUGGCGCACGGGUGCGUAACGCGUGGGAACCUGCCCUUAGGUUCGGAAUAACUCCCCGAAAGGGGUGCUAAUACCGGAUAAUGUCUUCGGACCAAAGAUUUAUCGCCUUUGGUUGGGCCCGCGUUGGAUUAGCUAGUUGGUAGGGUAAAAGCCUACCAAGGCGACGAUCCAUAGCUGGUCUGUGAGGAUGAUCAGCCACACUGGGACUGAGACACGGCCCAGACUCCUACGGGAGGGAGCAGUGGGGAAUAUUGGACAAUGGGCGAAAGCCUGAUCCAGCAAUGCCGCGUGAGUGAUGAAGGCCUUAGGGUUGUAAAGCUCUUUUAACCGGGAUGAUAAUGACAGUACCGGGAGAAUAAGCUCCGGCUAACUCCGUG
rnacentral:rRNA from 1 species